GGAUGUGAGGGCGAUCUGGCUGCGACAUCUGUCACCCCAUUGAUCGCCAGGGUUGAUUCGGCUGAUCUGGCUGGCUAGGCGGGUGUCCCCUUCCUCCCUCACCGCUCCAUGUGCGUCCCUCCCGAAGCUGAGCGCUCGGUCGAAGAGGACGACCUUCCCCGAUAGAGGAGGACCGUUCUUCGGUCAAGGGUAUACGAGUAGCUGCGCUCCCCUGCUAGAACCUCCAAACAAGCUCUCAAAAUAAUCCUGAGCUAAGAGAAUAGAGUUUAUCUGUGCAAAAUAAAUUAACAGACCAGCAUGUUGGUAUGU
rnacentral:snRNA from 1 species